rnacentral:rRNA from 1 species
UACGGAGGGUGCGAGCGUUGUCCGGAAUCACUGGGCGUAAAGGGCGCGUAGGCGGCUCGAUGAGCGUGCGGUGAAAGCCCGGGGCUCAACCCCGGGUCGGCCGUGCGAACUGUCGAGCUGGAGCACUGUAGAGGCAGGUGGAAUUCCGGGUGUAGCGGUGGAAUGCGUAGAGAUCCGGAAGAACACCGGUGGCGAAGGCGGCCUGCUGGGCAGUAGCUGACACUGAGGCGCGACAGCGUGGGGAGCAAACAGG